GACAGAGGGGGCAAGCGUUGCUCGGAAUUAUUGGGCGUAAAGGGCUCGUAGGCGGUUUGUCGCGUCGGGAGUGAAAACACCGGGCUUAACUCGGUGCUUGCUUUCGAUACGGGCAGACUGGAGGUAUGCAGGGGAGAACGGAAUUCCUGGUGUAGCGGUGAAAUGCGCAGAUAUCAGGAGGAACACCGGUGGCGAAGGCGGUUCUCUGGGCAUUACCUGACGCUGAGGAGCGAAAGUGUGGGGAGCGAACAGG
rnacentral:rRNA from 1 species